UCCCGCGCCUCGGCGUCGGGCCCUACAACUGGAACACGGAGUGUCUGCGGGGCGACGCCGAGGCCCCCGGCUGGGCCACCGCCUUCCCCCAGGCCCUGGGGCUCGCCGCCUCCUUCAGCCCCGAGCUCGUCUACCGCGUGGCCAACGCCACGGCCACCGAAGUGCGGGCCAAGCACAACCACUUCGUCGCCACGGGCCGCUACGGGGACCACACGGGGCUCAGCUGCUUCAGCCCGGUGCUGAACAUCAUGCGGCACCCGCUGUGGGGCAGGAACCAGGAGACGUACGGGGAGGACCCGUUCCUCACCGCCGAGCUGGGCGCCAGCUUCGUGCGGGGGCUGCAGGGGCAGCACCCGCGCUACGUCAAGGCCAGCGCCGGCUGCAAGCACUUCAGCGUGCACGGGGGCCCCGAGAACAUCCCCGUCUCCAGGCUCAGCUUCGACGCCAAGGUGCUGGAGCGCGACUGGCGCACCACCUUCCUGCCCCAGUUCCAGGCCUGCGCCCGCGCCGGCUCCUACAGCUUCAUGUGCAGCUACAACAGCAUCAACGGCGUCCCUGCCUGCGCCAACAAGGAGCUGCUGACGGACAUCCUGCGGGGCGAGUGGGGCUUCGAGGGCUACGUGGUGAGCGACGAGGGCGCCGUGGAGUCCGUCAUGCUGGCGCACAACUACACGCGCAGCUUCGAGGAGACGGCGGCGGGUGAG
rnacentral:lncRNA from 1 species